rnacentral:rRNA from 2 species
AAGCUCAUAUUUGAAAUCUGGCCCCCUUCGCGGAGGUCCGAGUUGUAAUUUGCAGAGGAUGCUUCUGGCGCGGCGCCUUCCGAGUUCCCUGGAACGGGACGCCACAGAGGGUGAGAGCCCCGUCCGGUCGGACGCCUAGCCUGUGUGAAGCACCUUCGACGAGUCGGGUAGUUUGGGAAUGCUGCCCUAAAUGGGAGGUAUAUGUCUUCUAAAGCUAAAUACCGGCCAGAGACCGAUAGCGCACAAGUAGAGUGAUCGAAAGAUGAAAAGCACUUUGAAAAGAGGGUUAAACAGUACGUGAAAUUGUUGAAAGGGAAGCGCUCAUGACCAGACUUGGGCCCGGGGGAUCACCCGGCGUUCUUCGCCGGGGCACUUCGCCGGCUGCCCAGGCCAGCAUCAGUUCGUGGCGGGGGACAAAGGCUUCGGGAACGUGGCUCCCUACGGGGAGUGUUAUAGCCCGCUGCGCAAUGCCCUGCCGCGGACUGAGGUUCGCGCUUCCGCAAGGAUGCUGGCGUAAUGGUCAUCAGCGACCCGUCUUGAAACACGGACCAAGGAGUCGUCUUCGUAUGCGAGUGUUCGGGUGUCAAACCCCUACGCGUAAUGAAAGUGAACGCAGGUGAGAGCUUCGGCGCAUCACCGACCGAUCCUGAUGUUCUCGGAUGGAUUUGAGUACGAGCAUACGGGGCCGGACCCGAAAGAAGGUGAACUAUGCCUGUAUAGGGUGAAGCCAGAGGAAACUCUGGUGGAGGCUCGCAGCGGUUCUGACGUGCAAAUCGAUCGUCAAAUAUGGGCAUGGGGGCGAAAGACUAAUCGAACCUUCUAGUAGCUGGUUUCCGCCGAAUUUCCCUCAGGAUAGCAGUGUUGAGUCUCAGUUUUAUGAGGUAAAGCGAAUGAUUAGGGACCCGGGGGCGCUCUUUAGCCUUCAUCCAUUCUCAAACUUUAAAUAUGUAAGAAGCCCUUUUUACUUUGGUGAACGUGGGCAUUCGAAUGUAUCAACACUAGUGGGGCCUUUUUUGGUAAACAAAACUGGCGAUGCGGGAUGAACCAAACCCCAGGUUAAGGUGCCCAAUAAAACCCUCAUCAAACCCACCAAAAGCGUUUUUACUUUUUGUCGCCGGAGGGGGGCCCUGGAAAUCGGAUCCCCUAAGGAUGGGGACAACCCCCUCCCCAAUGUUAACCCCCGAAAAGGAGGGGGUCAAAGGUCUCACCCAUACCUCGCCCUCGGGGUAGAAACGAAGCCCCGAGGAGUAGGCGGACGUGGAG